GCCCACCAGGGAGCAGGAAGAGGGGGAGACCACUCUUUGUCCUCUCUUUGCAGAUCAAAGGUUCGGGUCCACGUUCUCCUGGUCUGAGGCUGCCUCAUCGUCAUCUGGGGACUCCUAUAUCAGAGCCAGAGAAACCCAGUCAUGGGCUUGUGCCACCCCCGGGUCGUAGCCUGGGGGCCAGCAUCUCCUCCCUCUCGGCCCUGCUGCCAACGGAGCCAGAGGAGGCUCUGCCACCCCCUCCCCAUGGUACUUUGGCCUUCCCUCUGUCCUAGCUCCCAGGCUGCCCACGGCCACAUGGCCCACCAUUGGGUGACUCCCUCUUACCAGGCUGAGGCCCCUGUCCUGCCGCAGGGUAGCAUAGAAGCUCAGCACACGGGGGUCGCAGCGAAUCACCAUGGGGUCAAAGUCCAACACACAUAGGCCCUGCAGGCUGCGGGCCCGGGAAAGGGCCACAUAGGCCUGGCCGCUGGCAAACACACGGCCCAGAGAGAUCUCCACGCAAUCCAGGGACAUGCCCUGGGGGAUGGAGGGACAGGGCUGGAGCCAGCUCAGCCUGAAUUCACUUGUGCCAAGGAACCUGACCCCACCUCCACCAGCCCAGCUACUGCCCCUGAUCUCCUUGCCCAGUCCAGAGAUUCUGAGUCAGAGAGACAGGAUGAUGGGUGUCUGAGUAGGGGGGUGUCCAGGAAAUACAGAUCCAAGAUACGAGUAGAGGGAUAAGGGUGAAAGGAAAGAGCAGGUCUGGGUCAGACAGGCAUAGAAAUGAAUCUUGGCUCUGCAGGGCACUAGCUGUGUGACCUUGGACAAGUUACCUAACCUCCCUGAGCCUUGGUUUCCUCUUCUGUAAAACAAGAACAAUUAUUACAACUAUAUCUCCUACAGUUGUCGUAAUAUGUUAAAAUUAACAUAUCCAAUAGUGGCUCAGAAAAUGGCAGGGCCCGAGAUGACAGAGGGGAAGUGUAUGUGUCUAGGAAAGAGAGAGGAAGUGGGAUGGGAAAUGCACUAAAGAAAGGUUUAUUCUACAGCUGGUCUGGAACUUUCCAUCCAGGGCAAGUUCAACCCUCACAAAGCCUCGAAGACCCCCCCGCCCUUCAACAUGCCCCAGGCCUAUCCUGCCCCCGUCCCCACACUCACCUGGCUCUUGUGGAUGGAUAUGGCCCAGGCCAGCUGGAGGGGCAGCUGCUGCCGGCUGAGAAGCCGGCCCCCAGUGGCCUGCACCAUCCAGCGGUCUGCACGGAUGACCUCGGUGACUCCACACAGGAACCGUACCUGGGGCAGCCCUGAGGGAGGCGUGGAGAAGUCCCACCUUUCAGUCCCGCUCCAGGGCUCCAAGGUGCCCUUUGGAACCUGAGAAAAGGAUCCCACCCUCACCAUUGUGGAAGGAAGGAGGAUGCUCACAGUAGAGGCUACACUACAGAAGACAACUGAGUGCGGUACGUUCACUGGUUUAUAUGCAGCCAAGCAGGUCUCACUAUUCCCCGUGUACAGAAGUGGAAAACAGGCUGAGAGAGGCCACAACGGCUGGUGGGAGUCAGGGCUUGUGUGAUUCUGAAGCCCCGGCGCUUCCCAUCUCCAAGGUGGGAUGGGGUAGAAAAUAUUUGGCUAGGGAAAUCGCGGAGGGACCCUGGCGUCCGGCUUUCCGUUUACCCUCCGUCUGACCCACUCGUACGCACCCUCCCGGCAGGAACCCCUUGAAGAGGCAGGUGCUCUGCCUCCCACCUCUAGGAUCGGGUGAACACUCACUUGCGCCAGCACUCGGGCGAACCAGCUGAACAAGGUCGGCAUGCAGUCAAAAGUAGGGACACUAGAAACUUUCAAAUACUGGGUGUAGAGAAUCACCCUAUCACCGGCCGGAUCUUUAAAUUUUCCAGCCAAUCAGAGACACCGGGCGUGACAACGGGAGUGUCUUUCUUUGGGUUUCAACUCGCGGGGCUUGGGCUGUACCAAUAGCACGCCGGAGGAAGGAGGCUUAUUGUGGUGGCGGAGCAUACCAAGUCGCGCGGACUAGUGGGUGUGGUGGGAGGGGGCGGGGACUGCAGCGGGGCAGCGCGUGGUAUUGUGUCACCAAUCGCGUCUUUGAAGGUUUACUUUCAGAACCAUACCUCCAACGCACACUCCCUCCUCUCUAGCCUUCGCACUAAGGCUGAACUUGGCCUUGCGGAAGAGCUGCCUCUGAUCCCUCUCAUCUCUGUUUACACUCACUGGACCUUUGCCCAUUUCUGGGCAGACCCCCCGAAACCCUCGCGCGCGCGCGCGCGCGCACACACACACACACACCCCCAUGGCCUACUGCUGUCGCUGCCCACCCCGCCCCCAACAGCUCUUUACACGCUUAUCUGUCUCUGUAACCAUCAUUUUAGGCAUUUGUCUUUCCCAUGUGUCUGAGACCCGUCAGUGAGGAACUCUUGAGACCUGUGUACAAGGGAAGUGUGUGGGCCGCUGUCUUCGGGAAUUCGCAUCCCUCUCAUUGAACUGAAUGCUUAGGGAAUUCAUUUUUAAUUAUCUUUUUCCUCCCUCAUUAAAUCUUGGAAUGACAUAGCUAGAAGGCAUCUUACAGGUGAGUCAGCCUGCUCAUUUAUUGAAUUGCCCCCAUUUUUCAAAUGAGGAAACCAAGGCUCCAAGAAGUUUUACCAGAUGUCACAUAGCUUGUAGAUAGCAAAACAAAGCCUUGAACCCAAGUCUAAGCCUGCUAGUUUAACUGCUACACUACACUGCUCCCAGGUGACUGGUCUAACUUGGUGAAGGGAGUCCAGCCCUGGACUGGAAUCUCAGCUCGACAGCCAGUGCAUUGCCCCAGGCCUGCCAGUCAGAUGUUACUCUAAGCAAGUUUCCUUAAUGUCUCAAGCCUUUGUUUCCUCAUAUUUAAAAAUGGAGAAAGAUGAAGAUGUGAUGAUUGCACAACUCUGUGACUAUACUAAAAAGCAUUAAAUUAUUUGCUUUAAAUUGUAUGGUAUGUGAAUUAUAUCUCAAUAGGACUGUUAGGAAAAAAUCAUGAGAAAUAUUUUUCCUCUUAAGUGUUGUCUUGACAUAUGAGUACUAGUGGCACAGGAAAAUUUUUAAUGUCACUGUGGUAGGCAGAAUAAUGACCCCCCGCCCCGCAAACUGCAAAGAUGUCUGCAUCCUAAUCCCCAGAUUCCUUUUGUGAAUAUGUUACCUUACAUGGCAAAAGGGACUUUGCAGAUGUGAUAAAUUAAGGAUCUUGAGAUGGGGAGAUUACCCUGGGUUGUCUGGGUAGGCCCAACUAGGAUUCUUAUAAGGGAGGCUAGAGAGUCAGAGAAGGAGAUGAGAUGAGGAGGAAGCAGAAGUGUGUGUGUGUGUGUGUGUGUGUGUGUGUGUGUGUGUGUGUAAGAGGGAGAGACAGAGAGAGAAAGAUUGAUUUGAAGAUGUUACUGCUGGCCUAGAAAAGGGAAGAAAGGGCCAUGAGACAAGCCAUAGAAUACAGGAGGUUUCUAGAAGCUGGAAAAGGUGAGGAAGUGGGUAUCCCCCUCUAGAUUCUCCAGAAGGAACACAGCUCUUGAUUUUAGUCUAGUGAGACACAUUUUAGGCCUCCAGAACUGUAAGAUAAUAAAUUUGUGUUGUUUUAAGCCACUAAAUAUGUGAUAAUUUGUUACAGCAGCUAUAGCAAUAAGAAACAAAUACAAUCAUAAGCUAGAAAGCGAAAGCUGGGAUUAUGAACCCAUGUCUGUUUAUUUCCAAAGCCUGUGUUCUCUCUUUCCACUACCCUCUGCUCAGUGGGCCUAGCACACUCACACUGUCGGCUACCUUCUCCCUUCUCUCUGUGUAGUACCCCAGACCAGUUCUAGAGAAAGCAUGGAGGCUUCCACAUGAAUUUUCCCCUAACAUUUUCUUUCUUUUGGCUUUCAAUUUUUUUUUUUUUUUUUUGGCCUCGCCACUCGGCUUGCGGGAUAUUAGCUCCCGACCAGGGAUCGAAACCCGCCCCCCGCAGUGAAAACCCCGAGUCCUAACCCCUGGACCGCCAGGGAAUUCCCUCAAGUUUUUUUUUUUUCCCCGGUACGCGGGCCUCUCACUGUUGUGACCUCUCCCGUUGCGGAGCACAGGCUCCAGACGCGCAGGCUCAGCGGCCAUGGCUCACGGGCCCAGCCGCUCCGCGGCAUGUGGGAUCCUCCCGGACCGGGGCACGAACCCGCGUCCCCUGCAUCGGCAGGCGGACCCUCAACCACUGCGCCACCAGGGAAGCCCCCAAGGUUCUUUAAAUUGUAAAAUAUACAAAACGUAAAAUUUACCACGUUGACUAUUUUUACGUGUACAAUUCAUUGCCAUUAAGUACAUUCAAAUGUUGUAUAACCAUCACCUCUAUUUCUAGAAAAGUUUCAUUAUUCCGAAACAGAAACUUUGUACCCAUUAGACAAUGGUUAGACAACCAUUAGACAACUCCCCAUUCCUCUCUCCUCUCAGCCCCUGGUACCCCAAACAUUUUAUUCUGAAAAUAUUCCAACAUAUACAGAAAGAUAGAAAGACUUUCACAGUGAACACCAUAUACCUACCACCAAGAUUCUACAAUUAAUAUUUUGCUGUAUUUGUUUUAACACAUCUAACCAUCUAUCCAUCUCCCCAUUCAU